UCUCUAAAAUUUGUUAGAGUAGUCAUAUUUAGUGCAAAUAAUUAGAAAACAGUGUUAUGUCGGCAUUAGAGAAGAGCUGCAAAAGGAACUAUUUAUUGGACACUGUGAACGUGGCCAAGGUGUGUGCCCA
rnacentral:lncRNA from 1 species